GACGAACGCCGGCGGCGUGCUUAACACAUGCAAGUCGAGCGGUAAGGCCCUUUCAGGGGGUACACGAGCGGCGAACGGGUGAGUAACACGUGGGUGACCUGCCCUCAGCUCUGGGACUAAGCCUGGGAAACCGGGUCUAAUACUGGAUAUGACUCCAUGACGCAUGUUGUGGGGUGGAAAGCCUUGUGCGGCUGAGGAUGGGCCCGCGGCCUAUCAGCUUGUUGGUGGGGUGAGGCCUACCAAGGCGACGACGGGUAGCCGGCCU
rnacentral:rRNA from 1 species